rnacentral:rRNA from 1 species
GUGAGGAAUUUUCCGCAAUGGGCGAAAGCCUGACGGAGCAAUGCCGCGUGAAGGAUGAAGGCCUAUGGGUUGUAAACUUCUUUUCUCAGAAAAGAAUUAUGACGGUAUCUGAGGAAUAAGCAUCGGCUAACUCUGUGCCAGCAGCCGCGGUAAGACAGAGGAUGCAAGCGUUAUCCGGAAUGAUUGGGCGUAAAGCGUCUGUAGGUUGUUUAAAAAGUAUUCUGUCAAAGAUUAGGGCUUAACCCUAGAUAGGCAGAAUAAAGUUUUAAGCUAGAGUUUGGUAGAGGCAGAGGGAAUUCCCGGUGGAGCGGUGAAAUGCGUAGAUAGCGGGAGGAACACCAAAGGCGAAGGCACUCUGCUGGGCCAAUACUAACACUGAGAGACGAAAGCGAGGGGAGCAAAUGGGAUUAGAAACCCUGGUAGUCC